GAUGUGCUGCUACGUAAUUAGUUUGAGAUGUCUCCAAUUUCUUUUAAGUAUAUGUACUUAGUGCUAUGUGUUGGGUAGAUUCCCUCAAUUCUAAGAAUAGAAUGAAUAUUCUAAGGGUGGUGGAAUUCAAGACAUCCAAUUUUAGAAACACCUUAGGUUUGUCCCUCCUCCCCGCCCCCUGCCAUUCAUUGUUUUUUGAGACAAUGUCUUUCACUGGCCUGGCGCUCACAGCUAGGUAGAUCUGGCUGGUAAAUCUCAGGGAUCCACUGUUUCUACUUUCCCAGUUCUGGAAUUACCAGUAUGUGCCACUGUGUUUGAUUAUUAUUAUUAUUAUCAUUAUUAUUAUUAUUAUUAUUAUUAUAAGUUCUGGGAAUUGAACUCCGGUCCUCAUAUUUGUGGAGGAAGCACUUUACUGACUGAGCUAUCUCUUAAGCUCUGACUUAUGUUUUUUUUUUUUUUUUUAAGUGUCUGGAUUAAGGCAAGAAGUAAUAGGGAAGAAAACUUGUUCUGUAUAAUAACUUUUUAACAGAGCUGGUACCAUUCAGUCAUGGAAGGUACUACCUUGGGAGUAUACAGAAAAACUGAGCAAAUUAAAAUGACCAGUGACCACUAACAAAAAGCUGUUCCAUGCUAUGUAUCCUAUGGUGGCCUUAUCUAAUGCACCUUUCUGAUUCUAUAAUAGUCUGUGACUUUCAUUGUAUCACAGCUAUUGUCCAGCUAUGUAAAUUAGAUAUCGGUAGUAAGCAGAGUGCUUCUAUUCAUGGAGAUUAUAAGGACUUAGUGUACAGGAGAAGCACGGUUUCUUCUCCCAUCCCCAGAGCUAGUUUUGCAUCAAGUAACCUAUUCAUGCCAGCCUUCCUGCUGUUUGUCUGUGGAUCUGAAUGAGUUUAACCUCUUACUGGUUGCUUCACUAAUAAGCUAAAACAUUAAAAUAUAUUCAUUUUAUAUUUGCAUGAGAGUCACAAUUUUUUCCCUGUUGAAAUCAAUUAUAUCCUUUAAAAUAAUUUGCUGGGACUUAAAAAAAUUUUUUUUUUACUUGUAUGAAUGUUUUUGCCUGCAUUAUGUCUGUAUACCACAUGUGUGUAACCUCUGCAGAGCCCAGAAGAGGGCGUUGCAUCCCCUGGAACUGUGUGUCACCAUGUGGAUGCUGGGAAUUGAACCCAGGUCCUCCAGUCAGUGUUCUUUACUGCAGGGCCGUUUUUUGCAGCCUAAAAUCAAUCGCGUCUUAACUGGAAUCCUUUGUUCUUGCUUCAAAAUGAAUCCAUCCUCCUUCCUCACUUCUGUCCAGAUUUCAGACGUCCACACUUCGAGAGUUUUUCACUGUAACCCCUCUUACUGGAGAGGUUGAAACAGGAGAAUGGCAAGUUCAAAGCUUGCCUGGGCAAUUCAGGGAGAUUCUGUCUGAAAGGAGAAAACCUAAGGGCUGAUGCUAGAGAAUGAGCUCGGUGGCGGAAGGUUUUCCAAGUGUUUGCUGGGCUGGGGUGGGGGUGUUCAAGCCCUAGCUGUAGGGUUACGACCACCAGGGGGCGUGGAAACUUUCGCAGUCCUCGCUGGGCCAGCGUCAGGACAGGAGCCGGAGGUCAGAUAGAGGAUUAGAGUUGAUUACCGCAUAGUUGGCUCUAACAGCUCAAGCCCUGCCUUACUUGACUACCUUUAUGGCAGCGGAGGAAGUCAGUAGGAGCGUGCACAUCGCAGAGGGUAAAGUCCGGUUAUAAUUAGAAAGUAUCUAUGGCCUUUAAGAUUGAACACAAAGUCGAGGAUACUUCUCGAACUUGAGACCAAGUCUUCACUAGCGCCAAUUGUUGACCACUACUCUGGUCGAUACGCCAUUUGUUAUCCCCAAAUCAAAUACGGAGGGGAAGGGAAUAGGGGCACCGUUGAAGAGGAAGGGCAGUGAGAAGAACCACACUUUUCUAAAAAUUCUUCAAAUCCCAGGGCUCUUGACAGCAAGGAGGAGAGAGGUGGGCUUAAGUUUUCCAAAUCAAACAAACGUCUUUAUCCUACAACUCUGCCCGGUAGUUAAAAGUCAGUUGCUUCUUUUCUCGUACAGGCUAAGCAGAAAAUUGCUAAGCAGCCUCUGAUUUAUAUAGCUAUGGAAACGGACUCUCCUAGAUUCCCUCAAGUUAUUCAAAUUGUUAGUAAAAGGUGACUGGACCGCCUACACGACUUCGAGAGGCCCCACAACCACUAGCAUCAUAAUCCCCAAAUUCCUCGCCGCAGCCCGAUCCAGGGCAUCUCAUCUGCAGUUACGCCCUACGGGAACAAGUCUCUGAGCCCGAACCGCACAGAUUUUAUACCCAACAGGUCCCUUCUUUAAGGCGGAAUAUCUCUUGAGCAUCAUCGGAACGUUUUCCCUCAUCAAAGGGAGCAGGAACCAGCUUGUCUUCAACCUGAGGAGUCCGCAGAGGGCCGAACAAUAAGAACAGUGCGGAAAAUACGGAAUCGAAGCCAGACAGACCACCCCCGCCUUUUUUUUUUUUUUUUUUUGUUUCUGCCUUUCGAGGGGCAUGGGAAGGUGUGCCCGGAAUGCUUCCGGCGCUGGAGCGCGCUGGCCCUUUAAGCAGGAGCUCGGGGAGCGGCCCAGGUAUGGGGCGGGCCCAGGGGCGGGCGAGCCCUGAGCCGGCGCGGUCUCGUAGCCGGAUUUGGAGCGCGGCGCCGGCGGGGGCCGGAGGGGGCGGCGCGGCGGACCUCGGUGGCCUCGGACGCUCCUCCUCGAGAGCGGCCGCCGCCCGCCUCCGCCCGCUCUAGCAGCUCUCUCGCCCCGGCCGGCAGCCGCCGCCGCUCCAGGCCGCUCACUUGGGACGCGCUCACCUGAGACAAGGCGCCCGCCGCCCUCACCUGGGCCAGGAUGAAGGACCGGCUGGAGCAGCUGAAGGCCAAGCAGCUGACGCAGGAUGAUGACACGGACGAGGUUGAGAUUGCCAUUGACAACACAGCCUUCAUGGACGAGUUCUUCUCUGAGAUCGAGGAAACACGGCUCAACAUUGACAAGAUCUCGGAGCAUGUAGAGGAAGCUAAGAAACUCUACAGUAUCAUUCUCUCUGCACCGAUCCCAGAGCCAAAAACCAAAGAUGACCUUGAACAGCUCACAACUGAGAUCAAGAAAAGGGCCAACAACGUCCGGAACAAGCUGAAGAGCAUGGAGAAGCACAUUGAGGAAGAUGAGGUUCGGUCAUCUGCAGACCUUCGGAUACGAAAGUCCCAGCACUCCGUCCUCUCCCGGAAGUUUGUGGAGGUGAUGACAAAGUACAAUGAGGCUCAGGUGGACUUCCGUGAACGCAGCAAAGGGCGCAUCCAACGGCAGCUUGAAAUUACUGGCAAGAAGACAACAGAUGAGGAGCUGGAAGAGAUGUUGGAGAGUGGCAACCCAGCCAUCUUCACUUCUGGGAUCAUUGACUCCCAGAUUUCCAAGCAAGCCCUCAGCGAGAUUGAGGGUCGGCACAAGGACAUCGUAAGGCUGGAGAGCAGCAUCAAGGAGCUCCAUGACAUGUUUAUGGACAUCGCCAUGCUGGUGGAAAAUCAGGUAGCUGGCGUAUGGGAAAGCAGGCAUUUCCCUGUGAACCGGAAAUGGCAUUUUGGAGGUCAGGUGGGGCAGGGGAUAGAGCAUUUUCCCCAUGGGGCAACAGAAUUCUAGUGUCUGAGGCAGAGGUGUGCAUUUUUACUUCUUGAGUGCUGGCGCCUUGAGCCACCUCAGUCUUGUUUUCUUGCCUGUACUUUACUUUCACAGUGAUUCUAGUUAGUAGUGAAGUUUCAUGUCAUGACAGAACCUAGUCUGCUCAGCCUUAUCACUGUUUUCUUUCCCUUUUUAAAAUUAAAGACAUGGGCUCUUUGGCUGUGGAAUGUGUAGUUGAGUAUAGGCUGCCUGCUUAGCAUUCAUAAGGCCUUGGGUCCAAGCUAUCUUCUGGCCUAGGUCUGCAUAAACCAAGAAUAGCAGCAUAUACCUAUAAUCACAGCACUUAGAAGAUGGAGGCAGGGGGAUCAGGAGUUUAAGGUUAUCUUCUAAUACAGAACAAAUCUGAAAGGCAGCCUGGGAUUCACUAGACCUACCUUUCCUAAAAAAAUAAAAAGGAGGUCUUAUAGUCAAUGCCUUGACAGUCUUUUGAUAUGAACUAUUUUACUGAAAGCUUUUUCUUUUCCUCUAAUUCACCAUAGAAGUUAAAAGCAAGUUAAUUAAUUUUUCUAGUUUUGCUUUUAUACUUCUCUUUUCCUGAGCAUUUUGGCACCUUUUGUUAAGAAUCAACAGUAGACAUGAUUGAAGAAUUUCUUAUUAAAAGAAUAUUUUAGUGAAAGACUAUAAAAACACUUAUGAUUCUCGACAAUUCAUCCCCAAGCUUGCCUGCUUGGGAGUGGAAUUCGAUAUUGCUUGCAUAUGACAUUCAUUUCUGUCAGAUUGUUGGUCCCCAGUUCUUGGGAUAGAGUUAGGUGUCAUGUAGGGUCAUGGUGCUAAGCAGCUUUCACCAGGAACUUCCAGCUAUUCAGCCAUUGGUACAGAAUUGGAAACUCUUGCUUGGUAGGUAGACCCCAGACCGUAGUUGAAGCCUGAGUACAGGCUAACCAGUUGUUCAUGAGUUCUUUGCCCUUUGGCACUCUUCUUCCUUUUCCCUUUCUGGCCUUUGAGACUCCUUUCUCAAUCCCUCUAUUCCCACUUUUUUUUUUUUCCCACCACACUGCCUUGCUGAGGAUCUGGUUUGAGUCAAGUGAUGGGGGAGAUGUUAGAUAACAUAGAGUUGAAUGUCAUGCACACAGUGGACCAUGUGGAGAAGGCACGGGAUGAAACUAAAAGAGCCAUGAAGUAUCAGGGUCAGGCUCGGAAGAACCAGCUUUCACUCCAGCUUGGCCUGACCACUCUUGUCUCCAGACGGGAACAGAGUUUGAAAGGCCUCCCUGAGAAUGAGGGGGUACCUGUUACUUUAUUUCCUUAUAACCAUCCUUGGACCUGGCUCAGCAAACAAUCUACCCCCAGAAGAAUCUAACCUACCUGAUGCAGUCCUGAGUUCUCAUCAAAACCACCUCCCAUCCUAGCAGCUGAAGUACCCUCUUCUGGACUCUGUGAAGCAACCCUGUGUGUUGGUGUGUAGGUUAUGCUUUGUGCCUUGGACAAUCCCCGUGAGACAAGCCAAGGCACUGUAUUUCUACCUCAUGGAGUAUUCUCCUGGAAUAUACUUUGUAGGGGAAUAACUAACAAAGUAGAGGAAUUCUAAGUUUAGUAGUAAAUGUGGCUUGGAACAGAGUCCCUAGCUGGCAGGAUGCCAAUCCUUAGUUUGUUGUUUGCUGUCCUGAAAACAUGAAAGACUAAUAGAUGCCAUUUUGGUCUUACAAGUUGGCUUAUUUGAAAUUUACCUUUUAAUUAAGCUCUAACUUCAUUGUGGGUCACAUUGGUUUUUCUCUAUAUUCACUCUUGUUUAUUUAGAGAGACCAGGGUGACAGGUCUUCUGAAGCUACCAUUGGCAAAGAGUAAGGUUAUAGAAUUUGCUGGCUAGUCACUGUUAGAUAAUUGCUCUUUGUGAAGACAUUACUUUGAGGCCAACCAGAACCAGGGAUUUAAAACUGGUCCAGGGACAAGGUGCUACAGUCUCAGGCUCUGGAAAUGUCAGUCAUUUGUGUGUUCCAGGUGUACUUUUGUAAUUAUGUAUGUGAGAGAUAUGUACAUAAUUGUCUGCCUCUCAGGAAGUAGGAAAACUAGAAGAUACUAUGACCUCAAAAAAAAAAAAAAAAAAAAAGACAAAGGUAAGCAGCAGCUAAAAUCAGCUAGGGAAUAUAUGCUUACCUCAAGUGAAUCACUGUAGAAAUGUGAUUUUUUCCCCCCUUGCCAUCAAGCUUGUUUUCUGGAUGGCUGCUGAUAUGGGAAUCAAAUGAGACCUUUGGAGUAAGGACUAAAUUGGUUCCCAUCGAAGUUUUCUGCAUAGCAGAUAGUGUGUAAUAUUUACCUCCAUCUGUUGCUUACAAGAGGGUUGUCCAGAGAACCUCUCACACCCGUCUGAUGUUAUUUACACUAUCCAUGUGAUGUUUCUGUCUGGCGGAAGAAUUGGGAGGCUCUAGAGCAGUUCUUCCUGCUUUCUUUUGUCUCCUGUAAUUCUUAUCAUGGAGGCAAUAGCCUGGAAAUCGUUAGUGAUAAGCCUCAGACCUUUGGUGGUCCCUGCCAGUAUCCCGGAUUUUGGGUAUAUAACCCCCCAAUUUAAUGUUUCUAUGGGAUAGAUGAGUAGUAAUCUAGUCUAGGCACUGCCUAUGAGCUUUCUUUGUAAAGGUACCUCCUCAGUCACCCAGCAUUCAAGAUGGAGCCUCAGGGAUGCCUUCCUCCCUUUGGCUGUGAUGUCUGGCAGGACUGACUCCGGCUAGGAGGGGAAACAACCCUUAGUGCAGGCCUUUUCUCUCCUCCUUCAGGCCAGCUGAAAGUUUGAAAUGCCACAUAUGAAGGGCUUUUGUUGUUUGUAAUUUUUUAAAUGUAAACUUGAUUAUUUUAUUGCUAAUUUAAAAAUAAAUGACUUUAUACUGAUUGUAAAACAGCUCUGGGGCCAUCUCUCUGCAAUGUUUUGGUGAUUUGGCGCCACCAUGUGGUAACUUUUGGUGCCGCAGAAGCUCUAGAAAUAUCUGUUAGAAUGCUAUUCAGAAGGCAGAGAGGACACUCACAUCAUGGUCUGAUUCUAAGUGUCUAACCUGGAAACAUUCUCUACACAAGCCAGAUCCAUCCGUUUUCCUUCUGCAUUCCCUGUCCCUUCUGUCCCUCCACGUCUGGCCCCAUCUGUCUCCUUUUUGUCAAAGUGUGUAUCUGCACAGUGAUGUCGAUUCUCAUGUAUUUCUCUCUCCUUGUGAUGAGCAGAAGAAGAUCAUGAUCAUGAUCUGCUGUAUUAUCCUUGCCAUCAUCUUGGCUUCUACCAUUGGGGGCAUAUUUGCCUGAAAAAGAUGGGAUCUCAACGGGCAUCUGCAAUCUUCCACCUCUGUGGUGCCAUCAUGUCUCCCCUCAGUCUUCCUCAGCUAUGUCUCUUUUCACUAGGAAACUCACAACACAGGGCACCAAUCAACUGUUUAUUAAAUGAACAAAUUAAUGAAAAUGUAGAAUUGAAAGAGAUAGGGAUGAAGGAACAGGGAGCACGGCAAUAUACAGUUGGUUUAGAUGGCCCUUAAAGGUCUGGCCUGCAUGGUAGAGAGACAUAACGAACGGGUCCCUGUUUAGAGCACAACACACACACAGCCUGAAGGCCAGGAUGGUGGUGAAGAGGCAGGCAUUACAACAUGCCCAACUCAACAGGGUCAUACUGAACUCAGUGAGGCUGUCUCUCAGAUCAUGGUACUCCCUACUUUUACUCUAAUGGCUCUUCUAGGUCGCAUUCUUAACCAACCACAUGUCUGCUUCCUCUUUCAGGGUCCAAGAAUAGUUUUUAAUUCAUAGAUUGUUUAAGGAUAGGCACUAUGCCUAUCUCGAAUACUACCAUGUCCCUUCUCUUAGCACACAGUGCCUGCCACUUUCAGAUGUCUGCUUACUUAUAGUCAAGCUUUGAUUUCAUUCAUGGAUGAGUCUUUGAGCUUGGCUUUUAACUCUUUAAGGUACCAUUGGGAACAUGAUUUUUUAUUAAUCAGAGGCACAUAGAAAAAUAUGGCAACACCCCUAUUACCAUACCAUACCUGUCACAGUGUUCUGUUUUGAGGGAUGGUGCUUAUGUAGAAGCUGGCUUUGUAUUGAUGGUAUAAAUUUCUAUUAGUACUCUCAUUUGUCAGAGAUGAUAGUUGGUCUCAGGAUGGAGGUUCAUUCAAUAAAUUCAUUCCUCCAACAAAAGAAAGAAGUUUAUACUAUGACCCAGCUCCCAAACAAGCACACCAUGUUAUCUGGAACAAUGGAAGGAAGCCAAGGGGAUAAAGUGGGACGAGGCUGCUGCUUCAGCCUCACCAUGUCUGUGGUAGAAUAGGCUGCAGGUCAGUGAAAUGUGCAAGAAACUGGUCCAAACACAUUUCUAACUCAAGUGUCACUGUGUUCCACUUUAAAAAUAAUUUACUUUGAGACUAUUACAUUUUACAUUCAUUAAAAAUAAAUGAAAAUCUGCGUCUAACUUUUGAAAGUAAGUGUUAACUUACUUGAAUGCUGGUUCCCCCAGAAAAACUGAUUACUCUUGUUACGGACAAAUGAAGCUGGCACCAUGAAGUUUUGGAUCACAUGGGACCCUCAAUUAUCCAGCAGUGUGUGUGUGCUCUACAUACACUAGCUCCUAAAGGGACAGAGAGCCAAGAUGCCCCUCCUUAGCUAGCUUCAGAUCUAGGAAGGGUUUCAACUUUUGUUAAAGUUCUUUUGCUAAAUUCCUUGUCAUAUUCCAUGUUUUCCCUUCUGAGACUGACAGAAGAUGGGCAGCUGGGCAUUAAUAAAUAUCUGUUGAACCCACUA